rnacentral:rRNA from 1 species
CUCGGUAAUUCUGUGGCUAAUACGUGUAUGAAAGGGGGCCUCCGCGCGAGCGGUGGUCCCCGGCCUUGCCGCUGAUAAAUGCGCCGGCUUAACCGCCGAUCCGCGUGAUGCAGGCAAGUGUCCCUGCCGGUCCCUCGUGGGCCGGAGUGCAUGACGGGCUUCAGACCUAUCAACUAGACGGCCGGGGAUAGCCCGGCCGUGGUGACGACGGGUACAGAGGAUCAGGGUUCGAUCCUGGAGAGGUAGCCUGAGAGAUCGCUACUACUUCUAAGGAAGGCAGCAGGCGCGCAACGUUCCCAAUGGGGGCACCCUGAGGACGUGACGGGACAUACCAAUGCCUCGCCCAUAAAGCGGGGCAAUUGGAAUGGGGGAUGACCAAACCCUCCACCGAGUAACAAUUG